AACGAACGCUGGCGGCAGGCCUAACACAUGCAAGUCGAGCGCGCCCUCCGGGGUGAGCGGCGGACGGGUGAGUAACGCGUGGGAACGUGCCCUUUUCUACGGGAUAGUCCCGGGAAACUGAGAGUAAUACCGUAUACGCCCCGCGGGUGAAAGAUUGAUCGGAAAAGUGUCGGCCGGCGUUGGUUUAGGUGGUUGGGGGGGUAAUGGCCUACCAAGCAUACGAUCCUUAGCUGGUUUGAGAGGAUGAGCAGCCACACUGGGGCUGAGACACGGCCCAGACUACUACGGGAGGCAGCAGUGGGGAAUCCUGGACAAUCGGGGCAACGAUGAUCUAGCCAUGCCUCGUGAGUGAUGAAGGCCUUAGGGUUGUAAAGCUCUUUCAGCUGGGAAGAUAAUGACGGUACCAGCAGAAGAAGCCCCGGCUAACUCCGUG
rnacentral:rRNA from 1 species